rnacentral:lncRNA from 1 species
AGCAGCGUUGUGUUCGGCUGGUUGAAAGAGGGUGCUCGGGUUGAGUUCGGCUGGUUCUUUUCGAUCACUCUCCUCCGUCUUCGAGCGCUCCGAGGCGCUCCGAGCCCUGUCGUCGGAGCAGUCGUCGAGAUUGAGAGCCUUUCCGGUCACGUGAUUACAACAUGCCGUCGCGGCGUCGUCGUCUGGUAUUCCCGUGUCGUCUGGUGCCUGUAUUAUUUCGCUUAAAAUGCUACGAAAAAUCCGCUUGAGCGGUGCGUUGAUGCCCUUACCUUUGCUGGCAAACGUGGAAUCAAGCAGCGAGAGCUCUGAGAGCGAUGACGACGACUUCAACCGUACUUGUGAGCAGAAAUUUGCCCAGCUCUUCGACGUGCCUAACAGAACACCGAAAGUCACAGGCUACGUGAAGAGCGUUGUACGGACGUACUCGUAGAAAGAGGUGGGUCGUUACAGCGAACUAUCGUGUUGUAAGUAAACUGAAUACGUUUUUUUCUCCAUCAGUUUCGCAAGAAUUUCCGGCUCCCCAGGAAAUCGUGCUACGCCUUAAUUGAGCGUUUCUCCAAAUCCAGCUUCUACCCCUCGGACCAACGGCACGGUGGCUCACCAGCCAAAACGGCCGAGGAGCACAUGCUUACCUUCCUUUGGUACGCGGCCAACAAGGCUUCCAUGAGGGAGGUGUCCGUACUUUUUGACACAGCUGAAUCAACGCACGUAGUGAUUCUAAAUAGGGUUCUCAACUUGAUGUGCAGCAUAGCACCAGAGGUGAUCUACUUUUCAAGCAACAACAAAGCUGUUGCAAAAUAAUUUGAAAAGGUUGCUGGAUUUCCCAACGUGCUUGGGUGUAUUGAUGGGACAUACACUCCAAUCAGAUGCCCCAACAACAAACUCAGAUCAACAUACACAAACAGACAUGACCAAGUUUCAAUCACCAUGCAAGGCAUAUGCGACAGCAAUGGGAGAUUUGAAGACAUUUUUACAGGCACCCCCAGCAAGAUCCACGAUGCCAGAGUCCUUAGGCUGUCAACAGUGAAUGAGGACCUACCAACAAUCUGCCAAACCAACCGGUACCACAUUCUUGGAGAUGCUGCCUACUCAAUAAGGGAACACCUUCUUACACCAUACAAAGAUUAUGGCGACAUGACAGAUGCGCAGAUUGUAUACAACCACCGUCACUCUUCAACGCGAGUCAUUAUCGAAAAUGUAUUUGGGCGUCUCAAACAGAGGUUCCGCCAACUGCGGUACAUUGAAUUCCAAACUGUGGACAAGAUAACGCAAUUCAUCAUUGCUUGCUGCACACUGCACAAUAUUUGCCUAGACGUUGGGGAUCUAAAUGUCGAUGACAUUCGAACAGAUGACGACCUGCAGGAAAAACAACAAGACAUCGCUCAGCAUCACAUUCUCCAAGAGGAAGAACUCAGGGAAGCAAGCCAGUGUGCCCCGACACAGAGAGAGUCAGCCCUGCUGCACCUUGGGGAACUGAAGCGGAGCAACCUGGCACAGCGUUUAUAAGUUUGCUCCUUCUUUUGUGAUGGCGUGAGAAGAAUGUGUAAGCACUUCUCCUCAUUUAAAACAAGGCAUUGCAGUAGCACGUUUUCUUUUUUAUUAACAAAAGCAGUUGUUACAAUUUUGUUGUACAAAGCAAAUGUAUGGCAGACUUCCUUCUGUAAUAAAAAAAAUACAACUCGCGUAAAGAAAUGUCCCACCGCUUUGGAGUUAAAAUAAAUAUAUGUUGGAAACAUUA